rnacentral:rRNA from 1 species
UACGUAGGGGGCAGGCGUUGUCCGGAUUUAUUGGGCGUAAAGAGCGUGUAGGCGGCCAUGCAGGUCCGUUGUGAAAACUCGAGGCUCAACCUCGAGACGCCGAUGGAAACCGCAUGGCUAGAGUCCGGAAGAGGAGAGUGGAAUUCCUGGUGUAGCGGUGAAAUGCGCAGAUAUCAGGAAGAACACCCGUGGCUAAGGCGGCUCUCUAGUACGGUACUGACGCUGAGACGCGAAAGCGUGGGGAGCGAACAGG